CAGCUGCUGGUGCUGCGCGGCCGGCUGGGACAGCAGCUUCCCUCUCUUCCCCUUCUCCAUGUACCAGCGAAACAGGAAGUCGGCAAAGUUCUGCAGAGCGAGGAAGCCAGAGAGUCAGAGAGCUGAGACCCAAACAUCAGGUUUCAGGCUUUGUUAAACUACACCCCUCUCUCCCUCCUCACCAUCGGGGACAGACUCAGCCCAGCGGGGGUCCGAGGCCGGGUAAUCGUCCACCAGGUCCAGGUUGAUCUGAGUCACCACAGUGUCCAGCUCGGGUUCCUGGUCUCCAUCACCGUCGGUGGGGAAGAGCUCAUCUGUGACAGUCUGUGCUCCCACCAGGUCAUUACUAACGAGACAGAGAGGUUCAUUAUAAUAAAGUCAAUACCAAAUCAG